UCGGGUUCUAUUAUUUUUCCUCCCCUCUGGUUCGAGCAGCCCCUCCCCUUCCCCCCCUGUUACUAUUCAUCAGCCUGGUUUUUGGGCCACCACCGUCGCAUCCGGCCACCGUUUGGGGUGGCAUCGGUCCCAAACGAACCGGCUCGACGCCCUCUUCCUACCCAAUGCCUCCUCCGUCAUUAACAGCAACACCAGUCGCCGGAAAAUGGCCAAAACAGCCCGGUUUUUGUCAAAAUUUCCCACCGUUCGUUCUCUCUUCUCCGGCUGCCAAAUUGGACGAAUGAGAUUGCUUUUUUGAUCUUGUUUUCAAUGUCAGACUAAAUGAUAUUGCUAAAGCUAUUUGUAUACAAAGAAUCAAAUAGCACUGGAGGUUACAUAUAUGGUGGAGACAGAGAAUGCUGAAAAUGGUAUCUCAUCAGCUAUUGCAUUUGUAGAAGGGGUAAUAUAAGAGGCCUGCAGCAUAUGGCUUGAGGAAUUUUUAGUGCAGCUCUCAAAUCACCAUCAAAUACUCAAAGGAUUUGAUAGUAUAGUAGGAUCUUACCUUGGAUUUGAGUGCUGAAUUUGGAAAGACUUUGACCUUGAAUCGUUGUGCUAAUUUAGUUAAAAUUGUUGACUUGUACAGAUAGUUAAUUGUAGGAGUGUUAAUGCUUUUA